rnacentral:rRNA from 1 species
GACGUAGGGCGCGAGCGUUGUCCGGAUUUAUUGGGCGUAAAGAGCUCGUAGGCGGUUUGUCGCGUCGAAUGUGAAAACCCGGGGCUCAACCCCGGGCCUGCAUUCGAUACGGGCAGACUAGAGUUCGGUAGGGGAGUCUGGAAUUCCUGGUGUAGCGGUGAAAUGCGCAGAUAUCAGGAGGAACACCGAUGGCGAAGGCAGGUCUCUGGGCCGAUACUGACGCUGAGGAGCGAAAGCGUGGGGAGCGAACAGG